rnacentral:rRNA from 1 species
UACAGAGGGGGCAAGCGUUGUUCGGAAUUACUGGGCGUAAAGGGCUCGUAGGUGGCCAACUAAGUCAGACGUGAAAUCCCCAGGCUUAACCUGGGAACUGCGUCUGAUACUGGAUGGCUUGAAUUCGGGAGAGGGAUGCAGAAUUCCAGGUGUAGCGGUGAAAUGCGUAGAUAUCUGGAGGAAUACCGGUGGCGAAGGCGGCAUCCUGGACCGAUAUUGACACUGAUGAGCGAAAGCCAGGGGAGCAAACGGG